rnacentral:rRNA from 1 species
UACGUAGGGGCAAGCGUUGUCCGGAAUCAUUGGGCGUAAAGCGCGUGUAGGCGGCCCAGUAAGUCCGUUCUGAAAGUCCGGGGCUCAACUCCGGAUCUGCGGUGGGUACGGGCAGACUAGAGUGAUGUAGGGGAGACUGGAAUUCCUGGUGUAGCGGUGAAAUGCGCAGAUAUCAGGAGGAACACCGAUGGCGAAGGCAGGUCUCUGGGCAUUAACUGACGCUGAGGAGCGAAAGCAUGGGGAGCGAACAGG